rnacentral:lncRNA from 1 species
AAGGAAAAAAGAAGGCACCGUGGUGUCUGGCAUGAAAAGCAGAAACUAAUUGUUUCUAUUUCUAGGUGCACGUUAAUUGUAGCAUUUAAUUUACUGUUUUCCUCAGAGGGUUUUUGUGUUUUGGUGUGGGGUUUUUUUUUUUUUUUUUUUUUUUUUGAGGAAAGACUUGUGCGUCUCAAUCACGCUGGGAUGAAAAUAGCCUAGCAAACUUAUUUUUGUUCCUAGUCAGGUUCAGCAUCCUUCGUGCCAGUUCUGCAGUCAUUAACUCUUACAAUAUGUUAGGUUGGUGGCAGUUUAAACAGACCCACAGGCUUUGGCAAUUCAUUGCAUUUUUAAAAUAAAGCCUAAUUUUUUUUAAGUACCUAACUUUUGGACGUAAACUUUUGCUUUAAACCAAGGUCCGAGGAACUCUCCCCUCCCACCCCUGGUGAUGAAAGGAAAGGAAUACAAAUGCCAAUCUCCAGAGGAAAGAAAGCAACGAUACAGAAAUGAGGGAAGUAAGAAAGCAGAAAGAUCAUAAUCAAACCCUGCUAACCAUGAAAGCAGUUUUCUCAAUUUUGACUGAUAUUCACAUUGGAAACAAAUAGCCAGGAUUAUACAAAUUCUUAUCUGACUAGCUAUAACUCCUAUCAACCACUCUCAAAAAAAGAAAAAAAAUCAGAUUGCACGUUCAUGAAAAUGAAGAUAUUAUGGGACCACAAAUGUCAAAUCCUUAGGAAUGUACUCUACAACUACUACUUGUUAUUUUCUACCCUUAAGAUAGUAAUCAUUUCCUCUUUGUCAUGUCUAUGAUUAUUUUUUGGUAAAGGUAUUCAAAAUAAAAGCAACUCAUGC